rnacentral:rRNA from 1 species
AUGGCGAACAUCUGCGGUGGCCGGGAAAGGGAUCGUGUGGCAGCAGAUUACCGGCCGUCUGGCCCAGAUGAGGAAUCUGGUCUCCAAGAACCUAAUUCAGGGACAAUAAACUCCAUAACAAGCAGCAGUCCCACCACCAGCUUCAUGGCCUCUGCCGGCAGCGACGGUACAAACGGUGGAACCAAACAGGGGUGUUUCCUCGAAGGCCAAGUACUGGAGGCACCGAACCUCCGGAAAUUCACAUUCCUUGAGAUCCAGACAGCUACCAGGAACUUCAGGCCAAAUAGUUUCAUAGGGGUGGGGGCUUUCGGGUGCAUGUACAAAGCGUGGGUCGAUGAGAAGACGAUGAACCCGAUAACGAGUGGCCCUGGCAUGGCUGUUGCUAUCAUGCAUGGAAAGGAGGAAUGGCAGAAAUUUCUGGCUGUCCAUUUGCAAUCGGACAUAAAACUAUUGGGAAGGUUCUCCCACCCAAACCUUGUCAAGCUACUGGGCUACUGCUGGGAGGGCAAGGAACUAUUUCUUGUGAAUGAGUUCAUGGCCCAAGGGAGCUUGGAAGACCAUCUAUUCACAGUUUCAGGAAGAUGUCUUCCACUAUCAUGGGAACAGAGGCUGAAGAUCGCCAUCGGUGCAGCUCGAGGACUUGCUUUCUUGCAUGCAUCAGAGAAGAAAGCUAUGUACCGCGACUUGAAGGCUUCCAAGAUUCUUCUAGAUGCAGACUAUAACGCGAAGCUCUCUGAUUUUGGGCUUGCUAAGCUUGGGUCAACCGGCAACUCGCGUAUGACUAUCAUGCCCACACGCACCCACGGCUAUGCAGCUCCAGAAUAUGUAAUAAGUGGCCUUCUGUAUGAGCAGAGCGACGUUUACGGUUUCGGGGUUAUGAUCCUGGAGAUGCUGUCCGGUCAGCUUGCGAAGGAUCCCAACCGCCCCAAGGGGCAAACAAACAUCAUCGACUGGGCAAAGUCAUUGACUGACCGGAGAAAACUCUCUCAUUUUAUGGACCCCCGGCUCAAGGGCCAAUACAACUCCAAACAAGCCCGGCAGGCGUUGCAUGUGGCGCUGAGCUGUUUGGCUAGGGACCCUUGGAGCAGGCCCUCGAUGAAGGUGGUUCUCGAGGCGCUCGAGCAGAUCUAG